rnacentral:rRNA from 1 species
AUGUAUAUGCCUACAACAUAGCAUGCAUCAUAUCACAUUAGAAAUCUGUAGUUAAGUGCCCUUAGGCUAGAGUAUUAUUGGGAUGGGUGACUACCCUAGAAGUCCUAGUGUUUUACAUG